ACAGGUCUGCAGGGCAAGCUGACGAACUCAGGGCAGUUGAGGGGAGCUGUCGACGCGGAGAGCGUUGACGGUGGACGCAGUCGGGGGACGUACCUGGGCGAUCUUUCGGGCAAGGGAGGAAUGUGGUCCUCGGCGCAGUCCAGUGCCGGCGGAGGAAGCUUGGGCUCUCAGACAAAUCUGCAAGGUUUCGUGCAGGAUGAAGGUGCAAUCUCCGGCAGCGUGGGAGCCGAUGCUCAUUAUCAAAGUGACGCCUAUUUGGUGCCGUGUCCGAUGCCUUAUCCUUCGUGUGGAAGUUGUACGAGGUGUUAGACACGCUCGUCUUUUGUUUUCUAUUUCUGUUUGAUGCUUCCUGUCAGUGUUUGGUUUGAUGAAUCAAAUUAAAAUGAAAAUAAA